CUCCGGUCCCCGUUACCGUCCCAGCUUCAGCCCCCAGUGCCUCCUGAGGGGCUUGUAAAGGAAGCCAGCUGUGGCAACAGCCUUUUAGAGAUGCUUCAGAGCUGGCUGAGAGCGUCUGAGGGGCCCCCAGACUGACAGGAACCUCUGUCUUUAAAACACUGCCUGGCAUCACCUCUGCAAUGACAUCCCCUCUCCUGCGCCCUGACCCUUAACGCCUAAAGUUUGGGAGAGGCUGAUAAAGCUUUUUCAGCAGUUCUGAUUCGGUUAGGAGACAGCAUGGCCCCUGGGGAUUGCUCCACCUCCAUCCAUCACUUCCCAUUUUCUACUGCAUCUCCAGGCCAUGGGAAGAGGGCUCUCCUGACUUCUGGCCACACUUGAGGAAGGUUCACCAUCAGGGAGAGCUGCCCAAGUGCACAGAGACAGUCCUACGCCCAGAACCAAAACAAGAAGCUGGCUUUCCCUGGGGGAAAAUAUUCUAAUGAAUAAGCAGCAUGAAUGGAUUUUUCCAAAAUAAUGCCUUGCAUAUGGAUUCUGGGACAAUCAUUCCACCACUGAGCAUUGUUCUGCUUAGCUCCAUCUCAUCAAAAGAAUAGCGGAUCCUAUAUGUAUCUGUCACUUGCUCCAGUGGAGCUGUUCCUACAUACAGCCAUCGGAAUGAUCUACCUCACGUAUGUCACGCUCAUGCUCAAGCACCUACCAUGUCUCCCCAUUUCUCGUGCGUUUAACCUAAAGAAAUUAUAAGGUGCUUGGAGUCAAUCUUCAAGGGAGUACGGAACUUGCACGGCCUUUCUUAAAGAAGGAAUCAAGAAUGCCUCUCCUCUCCAAAUCUCUCACACCAAUUUAGCCCCUCAUGUGGUCAUGGCAGAUUCUAUCAUUAUAUUCUCUACCAAUCUGAAAUUAUGUUCUACAGGCAGCAUGCAAUAUAGGGAUUCUCUUUCCCUACUCAGCCUGGUUGGGGUCUAGGUUACAUAGGUUUAUGGUAGUGGUGUCA